rnacentral:rRNA from 1 species
GUCUGCAGCCAUACCAUCCUAGACACCCCUGAUAUCUCAUCAGAAGCCAAGCUGGGUCAGGGGACCUUAAUUGUUCAUUGAUAUUCAAUAGUAUGCAAAAUAGUUGCAUUCU